CUAUUGUUUUUCCCAGUUAUUAGUCUAUUGUUUUCCCAGUUAUUCAAAAAUGUUCCUUAUUUUUGUUACUAUAAAUAUAUAAUUUGUUUUUUUUUCGUGGUAAACAUCGCAUAUAUAUAUUCCGCAAAGCCCGGAUCUUCGUCAACGUAAUGUUGUUUUCAGUGCAAAUAAUAUCAUCAUAACAUCAUUUUUAUUAUUUUCGUGAAGCACACCUGUCGAUAACAAAUGCUAAAGUUUCUUGAUAAAGUUUCUAUAGUCCCUAUAGAUAAUAAUAUAAUGGCCAACACAUUAUUAUCAUAUGCACGUCAUUAAUUGCAUUUUACGGACUGCGUCAGUUAGAUAUAAACUAGAAGUUACUAUCGCAAGGAAAGUGCUGC